CCUACGGGUGGCAGCAGUGAGGAAUAUUGGUCAAUGGACGAGAGCCUGAACCAGCCAAGUAGCGUGAAGGAUGACUGACCUAUGGGUUGUAAACUUCUUUUAUACGGGAAUAACAUGUUCCACGUGUGGGAUUUUGUAUGUACCAUAUGAAUAAGGAUCGGCUAAAUCCGUGCCAGCAGCCGCGGUAAUACGGAGGAUCCGAGCGUUAUCCGGAUUUAUUGGGUUUAAAGGGAGCGUAGGUCGCUUGUUAAGUGAGUUGUGAAAGUUUGCGGCUCAACCGUAAAAUUGCAGUUGAAACUGGCAGUCUUGAGUACAGUAGAGGCGGGCGGAAUUCGUGGUGUAGCGGUGAAAUGCUUAGAUAUCACGAAGAACUCCGAUUGCGAAGGCAGUUCACUGGACUGCAACUGACGCUGAGGCUCGAAAGUGCGGGUAUCAAACAGGAUUAGAUACCCCUGUAGUC
rnacentral:rRNA from 1 species